rnacentral:tRNA from 1 species
CCUGGUAGCUCAGAUGGUAAAGCGUCUGCCUGCAAUGCGGGAGACCCGGGUUCAACCCCUGGGACAGGA